AAUCACGUGCCUAACACACGUGCCUAUAUGGGCUUCAAUUUUCAUCAACACACGUCCAAGAAUGCAAAUAAACUCAGCGCUAAAAAAACCGCUGCUAAUAACUCCCCACUCUACGCCAGUACUCGAUCCACUUCUAACAUCAAACCCUAUCACGCUGGCCGGAUUCUUCUCAAUUCUUCACCGGCAUGUGAAUUCUCAGUCUUGAGCGACUGCGCGAAAACAAUCAAUUUGCAACUGAAAUCUAUGAGAUUUCAAUAAUCGUCUUCAGUAGGCCAAGGAUUGUUGCGAAUAAUCGUCUUCAGUAGGCUGAGGAUUGUUGCGAAUCAACCAAAAUCAGGUUUAAGGUACCAGAGGGUGUGAUCUGUUGCUGCAGCUGCACUUCCUGUGCCAUUUGGGACUUCACAUGUUGGACUUGUUCAUCGAGCUCAACUCAAAAGUGGUCAGGUACUCAAAAAUAAUGAAGGUGCAACAGAACGGAUGGCUUCAAAGUAGCUACCAUCGUAUCGUCAUCUAUUUUGCUAGCGCGCUGGAUCUUAUUAGUUAGCUUAUUUUCAAGCGUCCAGAUUUAGAGGCAACAAGCUGCUGCAAGUCAUCGCGAACGGAGACGCUUUUAUGCGACGAGACAAUUGGGGACUAUGUUAGGCGUCGAGAAUGGCGACGCUUUUACGUGUCGUGAAUUACCUCAAUUGACACGACGCUUUUAGAAAGCGUCGCAAGCAAAUUUAGCGACGCUUUUUGGCGUCGCCAAAUGGGUUAAAAAGCGUCGCGAUAACACUCAUUUUGUAGUAGUGGCCCCUACUUGUGCUGCUUAGAAAAAGAUCAGUGGGGGCAAGUCUUAGAAGACCUACAUGAAGGAACGUGCGGGAAUCAUUCAGGAGGACGCAGCUUAUCCAGCAGAGCGUUGCGUAUGGGUUACUAUUGGCCCACAAUGAAGAAAGACGCAAUAAGGUAUGUCACCAAGUGCGAUAGCUGUCAAUGACACGCAGGUAUGACGUAUAAACCUUGUGAGAUUUUACAUCCUUCUUUAACACCUUGCCUUUCAUGAAAUGGGGCAUGCAUAUAGUUGCUAAAAUAACCUCCAUCCCCAGGUCAGAAGGUCUUUAUGUUGGCAUUAACUGAUUACUUUUCUAAAUGGAUAGAAGCAGAUUCUUUCCAACAGGUGCGCGACAAAGAAGUUAUUUCUUUUAUAUAUACUAACAUAAUUUGCAGGUUUGGUGUCCCAUCUGAAAUCAUAUGCGACGAUGGGUCGCAGUUUAUUAGCGACAAGUUAAAACAUUUUUGCGACGAAUGGAACAUAACGUUGUUAACAUCAACGCCAAGGAAUCCACAAGCCAAUGGACAGGCUGAGUCUAGCAAUAAGACUGUCAUUGAUAGCCUGAAGAAGCGACUCACCGCCAAGAAAGGCAAGUGGGCAGAGGCAAUACCUUCCAUCCUGUGGGCCAAUCGCACCACACCACGCACUGCGACAGGACAAACGUCGUUCUCGCUAGUCUAUGGAUGUGAAGCUGUUCUACCAUCUGAAGUGAACGUUCCGACCGCCAGAUAUGGCUUAAUGACGGAGCAGCAAAUUUGCAAUGAGCUUGUCAACGAUUCGGAUACCAUCAAGGAGUUGCGAGACGCAGCAUUGGUACGUAUGGCAGCUCAGCAGCAAGUAGUCGCAAGAAGUUUCAACAAAAAUGUUCAAGCCAAAUCCUUCGUCGAAGGCGAUUGGGUUCUAAGGAAAGUAUUUCAAAAUACACAAGAAGUCAACGCUGGCAAGUUAGGGCCUAAAUGGGAAGGACCAUACCAAAUUAGUAAAGUAGUAGGCAAUGGAGCCUACCAACUGGCCCGCCAUGACGGAAGCUUCGUGCCACGUAGUUGGAACGCGACGCAUCUUAAACAAUACUUCUUCUAGCUAAGUAAAUUUGCUAUGUUAUCUUUACAAUGUGUAGGAAAUAAAUGACAUCAUUAUUAUGUCAACGCCGCUAACUGUUAGCGACCUUAGUGUUGUCUUACUGUGUUUUGUUGUCUUUCAGGAGAUUCAUUCCCAUCUGUUUCAAUAAUGUCGCAACGUUCUAACGACGCGAAGCACAAUCGUUUAUUUCAUCGUACAAUAAGAGUAGAGUGAUGUUGUCACUAUCUACAGCCUUUCAGUUUUCUUUGCUCAAUAAGUAUAUCACGACGGAUGUCUUGCUAUUGUGUACCAUGAUUGUCUACGAUGAUUCUACGUGUUCCCCGACAAUUACAUGACAUUGACGCAAUGACGCAUCGACUUUGACGAUAAGACGUGGUAGCCGAAAGGAUGAAGCGCGAAGACUAAGUCAAUUAGCUUAGUAACUAACUGUCCGGAAAAGAAGGAUGAUGAUCCUAUCAUGAUUCAGCUAACCAUGCCGCUAAGGGAAAUCAGUUACGCAAGGUUAGGAGGCAGAAUUCAUUGGUUGAGCAAAA